rnacentral:tRNA from 1 species
AGCCUAAUAGCUCAAUUGGUAGAGCAUUGUGCAACUGCACACAAGAUGUGGGUUCGAAUCCAACGUAGGUUC